UACAGAGGGGGCAAGCGUUAUUCGGAUUCAUUGGGCGUAAAGGGUGCGUAGGCGGCGCGGUAAGUCGGGUGUGAAAUCUCGGAGCUUAACUCCGAAACUGCAUUCGAUACUGCCGUGCUUGAGGACUGGAGAGGAGACUGGAAUUUACGGUGUAGCGGUGAAAUGCGUAGAUAUCGUAAGGAAGACCAGUGGCGAAGGCGGGUCUCUGGACAGUUCCUGACGCUGAGGCACGAAGGCCAGGGGGAGCAAACGGG
rnacentral:rRNA from 1 species